rnacentral:rRNA from 1 species
UAGACAGGAGGUGAGAUAGAGGCAGUGGAAUUCCAUGUGUAGCGGUAAAAUGCGUAAAUAUAUGGAGGAACGCCAGAGGCGUAGGCGGCUUGCUGGGUCUUUACUGACGCUGAGGCACGAAAGCGUGGGGAGCAAACAGGAUUAGAUACCCUGGUAGUCCACGCCGUAAACGAUGAGUACUAAGUGUCGGGAUUACUCGGUACUGAAGUUAACACAUUAAGUACUCCGCCUGAGUAGUACGUACGCAAGUAUGAAACUUAAAGGAAUUGACGGGACUCCGCACAAGCGGUGGAUCAUGUUGUUUAAUUCGAAGAUACACGAAAAACCUUACCAGGUCUUGACAUACUCUGCAAAGCUAUAGCAAUAUAGUGGAGGUUAUCAGGGAUACAGGUGGUGCAUGGUUGUCGUCAGCUCGUGUCGUGAGAUGUUAGGUUAAGUCCUAAAACGAGCGCAACCCUUGUCA